GGAUGUGGGGCGGACACCCCGGAAGCGGAAGGCGGUGCCUCCUCGGCGGCGGAUUCGAGGGUUUGUUGUCAGUAGUAUCAGCUGGUGGCCUGCCAUGCCGUCUGAUGGUCGCUGCUGGGAAACUCUGAGGGCGCUCCGCAAUUCCAGCAAAGGCCGCCUGCGCUACGACCGCGAGUGGUUACUGCGCUACGAGGAUGUUUUGGAAGAAUGUAUGUCUCUUCCCAAACUAUCUUCUUACUCUGGAUGGGUGGUGGAUCACAUCCUACCCAACACCUCACACCACACGCAAGAGAAUGCUCCUUCCUCUGAUAAUUCACCAUCCUCUGGAUCUGCUUCAGGCCUGUACCAAUCCACACUUAAGUCUCCUGUCAGAAGUAGCCCACAAUCUCCUUCACCCUCAACACCAAGUGGAACCCAGAGCGCACAUGAGUCCCCGUUCACAGAACCUAUUGCACUUCAGUCCUCCCGAGCGAUCAAAGUGGAAGGUUGCAUCCGAAUGUAUGAAUUGGCGCACAGAAUGAGAGGAACAGAGGGCCUGAGGCAGUGGCAGGAGGAGCAAGAGAGGAAGGUGCAAGCCCUCUCAGAGAUGGCGUCCGAACAGCUGAAGAGGUUUGACGAGCUGAAGGAGCUGAAGCUGCAUAAGGAGUUCCGGGACUUACAGGAAGUGAUGGAGAAGAGUACCAGAGAAGCCCUGGGCCAUCAGGAGAAGCUGAAAGCUGAGCAUCGCCACAGAGCCAAGAUUCUCAACCUAAAGCUUCGAGAGGCAGAGCAGCAGCGUGUGAAGCAGGCAGAGCAGGAGCAGCUGCGGAAGGAGGAAGGCCAGAUCCGUCUGCGCAGCCUGUACACCCUGCAAGAGGAGGUCCUGCAGCUCAACCAGCAGCUGGAUGCUUCCAGUCAGCACAAAGACCUGCUGAAUGUGGACCUGGCUGCUUUCCAGACCCGGGGCAACCAGCUGUGUGGCCUCAUCUCUGGCAUCAUUCGCACCACCUUGGAGAGUGGCUAUCCCACAGCAGAGAACCAAGCUGAGGCUGAGCGAGUCCUGCAGGAAAUGCGGGACCUCCUCUCAAAUUUGGAGCAGGAGAUCACCAGAGCCUCUGAAAUGAAGAAGAAAGAUGAAGAAGAGGCUCGGGUCAAGCUGCAGGAGUCACAGGUGCAGCAGGGGCCAGGGGCUCCCACCAAGACCUCUGCACCCAGCCCAAGCCUAGUAGGGACACAGAGUGAAGACCUGCAGGUGAAGGUACAGGAUAGUACGAUGCAGUGGUACCAGCAACUUCAGGAUGCUUCUGCCAAAUGCGUGUUGGCCUUUGAGGACCUGACCAGCAGCAAGGACAGUCAGAUCAAAAAGAUAAAGAUGGACCUGCAGAAGGCAGCCACCAUCCCAGUGAGCCAGAUCUCCACCAUCGCAGGUUCCAAGCUGAAGGAGGUUUUUGACAAGAUCCACAGCCUGCUCUCUGGAAAGCCUGUCCAGUCUGGUGGACGUUCUGUGUGCGUCACUCUUAACCCACAGGGGUUGGACUUUGUCCAGUACAAACUGGCCGAGAAAUUUGUGAAACAAGGGGAGGAGGAAGUGGCCUCUCACCACGAAGCAGCCUUCCCCAUUGCAGUGGUGGCCUCUGGUAUCUGGAUGCUCCACCCCAAAGUGGGAGACCUCAUUCUUGCCCACCUCCACAAGAAGUGUCCGUACUCCGUUCCUUUCUACCCAGCUUUCAAGGAGGGGAUGCCUCUGGAGGAUUAUCAACGGAUGCUUGGCUACCAAGUGACGGAUUCCAAGGUUGAGCAACAGGACAACUUUCUAAAACGAAUGUCUGGGAUGAUCCGUUUGUAUGCCGCCAUCAUCCAGCUCCAGUGGCCAUAUGGAAGCCGGCAGGAGGCUCAUCCUCACGGCUUAAAUCAUGGCUGGCGCUGGUUGGCGCAGAUCUUAAACAUGGAGCCUCUCUCAGAUGUGACAGCCACUCUCCUGUUUGACUUCUUGGAGGUCCCUGCAGGCUUCCAGCGAUCCAGGAUCCAAGGCGUGCCCCGCCACAGCCAGCUGAAAGAGCAGCUCCUGAAUAAGCUUCAGGAGCUGGGCCUGCUGCUCCAUGGAGUAACACCAGCAAAAGGAGCCUUAGCAGGAGGGCCACAAGGCUGAGACCAGCCUGGGCUACCCAAUAAGACCCUGCCUCGAGUUAAUGAAUGGUGUGUGGGAAUGCCCUCAUGAAGCAGUACCAGGUCCAGUUCUGGAAGAUGAUCCUUCUCAUCAAAGAGGACUACUUCCCCAGGUCCAGUGUGUUUAAAUGUUCUUUCUAAACUUCUCCAUAUUAUCUGGGAUCGUGAUUGCAAGUAGUCAUGGACUGACCUGGCCCACUGAGAUGGUGAGUUGAUCAGUAAGUCAGUUGGGGGAAUGGUAUGCCUGCCGCACUGCCUGACUGUUCUGUGUUCUCACCUAGCCACUGUGAAGAACUCUAAUAAACUCACUGGGGCUCCAGGUAGGAAGGCUUUGUCAGCACUCAUCCUGCCUGCUCUGACCUCAGGCAAGAGCAGUUGUCCUCCUCCUUUGUCCCUUUGGAAGAACAGCGAGGACCACGUGAAAGAGCGGCCAGCACUCUUUAGAAGUCAGUGGGUCUGGUCCUUACCUGAUGGAGUGUUGUGAUGCAUCAAGGGGGACUUCUCACAAGUCUCUCUGUCUCUCUCCCCCAUAGAAUUGAAGCCAUCACGAGCUCAGGACAGAUGGGUUCCUUCAUACGUCUGAAGCAGUUCUUGGAGAGACUCCCAACGAGAACAAAGAUGAUCAUCAGAAGACUGGGUUUUGAUACCCACUGAUGGUGUAGGCUCAGGAACCAUGACCCAGCAGCUGAUCUCGGUAGCUCCACAUGCGCAUCGGAUUCUUGGCCACGGGAUGCUACAAGCUACGUUCUCUCCACAGCUCGGGUCGUCACUCUUCUGCCUGCUUCCACCGCACCUCGCCCUCAUUUCUUGGGCUGAGUACUCAAACUUUUGUCAUGCACUGUCCUGUACCAUCUUAGUUCAGAUCCGAUGAUGUGCUGAAAUUCCAGAGCAGAGUUCCAGCCUUCGUGCACUCUUUCAGCCUUGGAACCACACCUUGCGUGCACGCACUCACACACACAAACACACACACACACUCACACACACUCACACACACACAAACACUCACAACCCACAAACACACACACAUUCACUCACACACACACACUCACACACACCCACAAACACACUCACACACACAAACACACUCACACACACAAACACACUCACACACUCACACACAAACACACACCCACAAACACACACACACGCACACACACAAACACAACCCAUACACACAAACACUCACAACCCACACACACACUCACACACAAACACACUCACACAAACACACCCACAAACACACACACUCACAAACACACACACACUCACACACGCAUGCGCGACAAAUUCUGUUGAUAGUUGCAGUGACAUAAUGAAGUUUAGAUAUCCCUCAGUGCCGGGACAAUGAGCCACAGAGCUGCUCAUGUCUGUCACACAUGACUAAUUUUCCCUUUUCUCUGCCACACUUAAUGAACUUACUGGAUGUCCUGUGGAUCUACAGAAAGCAGACAGGCUCUGGGCUUCUAGUAAUGUGAUGUACUUGCAAAAACACCCAUUGUAACAGGCUUACCCAUAGUGCCUAAGGAUUGCCAGGCUUCCUUUAUUACAUAAUGCCCAUUUAGGGGCCGGAGAGGUGCCUCAGCAGUUAAGAGCACUUGCUAUUGCAGAGGACCCACGUUUAGUUCCCAGCAUCCUUGAGUUUCACAACUGUAAUUCCAGUUUCAGACGAUCCAGUGCCCUUUUCUAGCCUCCAAGGGCACUAGGCAUGAACAUAGUGUAAGAAAAUCACUCAUACACAUAAAACUUUUUUUUUUAAAUCAAAGGAUUGGAAAAGCAAGAACAUACUUUGGACUGCUUUGAGGCAGAUGGUUGGCAUUGAUCUGUAAUGCUGAGAAUGAACCUGGGCUUCUCCUAUAAGAAGUUCAUGAGCUUCUUCAAGAGCUGCUGACAACAUCCCAGCUAGUCCUAUGCUUUUGAAGCAGGUAAAUAGGUGCAUAGAGAGAAGCAGUGAGAACCAGUGUCGAGGGGCAGGGAACAGUACAUGCUUCUCUAGCUCUGGAAUGACUACACCAUCAUUAGACUAUUCUCUAGAGAAUGGAAAGCUAACAUUGAUUUUGAGGUUUGACAUGGCUUAUGAAACUCUUAAACAGUGUUUAGCAGGAAAUCUGGGCAUGAUGGUACCACCUCCUGCAAUCACAACACUGAAGCAGCUGAAGCAGGAGAAUUGCCAUGAGCUCCAGGAUAGAUAGACUAGGUCACAGCAUGAGACCUUAUCUUAAACAACAAAAAGUUUACAUGCCAUUAAUCCCAGUACUCCAGGAUGGCUCUGCAGGUAAAGGUAAAUGCCAUCAAGCCUGUGUUUAAACCCCAGAAUCCACAAGGCAGAAGGAGAACCAACAGUGCAGGUUGUCCUCUGACCUCCAUAUAGCACACAUAAUAGUUUACGUGGUAGAAUAUGUUUACAAGUGCCCAGUCCAGAUUGCCGGAACUUUCUCUCUAGUCCAAGAUGGAAACUGGCCCUUUCCCCCCAUCUGAGACUCAGCAGUUGCUGAUUGUAAGGUAAGCAGAAUCAUCUAAUAUUGGUCCUUCUGUCUGGCUCCUUUCACUUAGCAUAAUGCCCUCAGGUUUCACAUAGUCACGAUGUUUGGAAGACCUGUGUGACUGGCCUGCCAACUCUGCUCCUGCAGAUCUGAAGAGCCAUUUUCUCUGCUUGACCCUUCCCAAUCAGCUUGACAGGGAGGAAAAACUAACACAAGCACUUGAUUUGAACUUUGGAGAGUGCAAGACCAGUAAAAGAAGUAGACAAGUAACAAUUAGCAUAUUUCCCCAUCCAACAACAGACCUUUUGAACAGGGGGCCAGGGCUAGCUAGAGUUUUAAGUCUUAGGGACUGCAGUAAUCAGGAGAGCCUUAGAAUUCACUUGGAUUCACUGCUUGUAAGGAGGCCAGGAGAGGCGUAGCCAAGAACCGGAGCGAACCGAGCUGUCAUGCUGGGCUGUGCUGCUUUAUUUUCUCCCUCUGAAGUUCUCUUAUAAAAAUAAGGUUAUUAUCUGCAGCAUCCCUUCCCCAUCCCCACGCAGAACAGUGUGAGGCAUGUGCUGAAACUGAUGGGAGGGAAGGAGGGAGGGAAGCAACAAGAGAAGCCAUGAGGAAUGGCUUUUCCAUGGCUCACUUCUUGUGCCAGAUGAGAGAACAGGGUGGGUGGGUGAGGAGGAGCCUGAGGAUACUGUUAUCCUGGCCACUCAUUAGAAAACCAACCAACAACCAGGAUUUUUUUUCCCCCCAAUGGAAAGAGAGCUCCCUAUAGGUCUUGGAUUUGUUUGGCAUUUGGGAGAAACAGUAGAAGUGCUAUUUCAGAACGGGGCCACGGAGGUUAACUAUCCACAGCCCAGAGACCCAUCCUUCACCACUGAAGCAGAAGGUCUUAGGAAUUUUUAAGUGUUAAAUUAUACUAGCCAUUUUCUACCCAAGGCUGAAUAUCUGAGUUUUAAAUUUGCUGCUGCUGGCGGAAGAGGUGGUUACUAUGGUCACCAUCAGCUGUUUUCAGAAAUGCACGGUCCACAGCCUGCUGUGGUGGUGCAUACUUUCAAUCCCAGAACUCAGGAGAAAGAGACAGGGGAUCUCUGAGUUUGAGGCCUACCGGGUCUACACAGCAAGUUCCAGGACAGCCAGAGCUACAAAGGGAAACCCUGUCUGGAAAAACAAAGAAAAAAAGAAAAGGAAAAACGGCACAGUUCAGAAAGUAGCUCCUCAACCAGUUUUCUUUGUAAAGAAGAUGGCAGUUAAUGUCUCCUAGCACCUGCCUUUUUUCUUCCCUGAAGCUGCUGCUGGGCGUGGCCACUCCUUUUUUAUCUUUCCACUCCGAGGAAAAAGACUAGGAAUCUUCUUUCACUAUCAUGUCUACAGCCAGUGUAGCCUAGAAGUCACCUUGCAGAUCCUAGGCUCAGCAGAAACCAAACUGCAGAAGACCAGGAAGCUUGGACUGGGCCUCAUCCCAGUUCUGGAGCAAUGCCCAGUUCUUUAUAAUUAUUUAAAUAGGAGGGUGGCUUGGUAACCAGGAGGCUGAUGCCUGGCAGAGCUGCAGAACUCCCAGUAGGCCUGACUACACAGGAAUGAGCUGGGUGCUACUCCAAUGGUUGCCACACAGCUGUCACCCGAAAUGGAGGAAGGGAAAAGGCGUUUGCAGUGGAGGAGCCUGGUGAUAGAGUUUAGAGCCAGGCUCUGAAAACGGGCUGUGCAUUGGACAGAAAUUACAGAAAUUUUGUUUUCUUCUUCUCAGAAGUCUAGCACCUACCUGCUUAACUGCUUGUGUUCAAAUCUUAGCUUCUGAUUGCUUCCUGCCUGACCUGGGGAGAGAGCUACCUUCUAUGUAUUAGGAUGUUAAUUUGUAAAAUGGGGAAGGGAAUCUCUACCUUGUAAAAUUAGUGUAGGGAUUAAAAGCUCAAAGAGGCAGCAUGCACAGUGUCAGCUAAACAGCAAAGUUCAAUUAAUAGUGGGGAAAGUAAUAUCGUUUAUCAACUGGGACGAAUACACCCUAUUUUACUGGCAACAGGAAGAAAGAUUGCUGGAGAAUUCUCCAAAUCCUGAAAUAAAAGCCUUAUGCCACAAAUCAGUCUUUUUUUUUUUUUUCCUAAUCAGGAUUUUUUUUUCCUACCACCUCCUCAAACACGGAGCCCCAAAUCAUCUCAUUUUUUUUGGCCCCAGCCCCCACCAUAAUUGGCAGACUUGGGUCUCCCAGAGCCAAGCCUCCUCCUGAGAAAGUGGAGAGUGGGAGCCAACAUUCCAGUGAGAUCACCCGAAAGGGACAGGGCGUCUUUCCGGCCAGGGCAGCAACAUCCCCAGCUUGACUGCAGCGACGGGCCCCGCCCCGCCCUUCGCCGCAGUCUCCGAAGAGCUCCCAGGGCGGAGGGGUGCGGCACAGAUUCUCUGCAGGGCGGACUGGGCGGGGCAGAAUUGCUCCGGUCCCACGCCGCGGCGGGCGGAUGCGGCGGCUCCUUUGCGCCGCGCGCUCCCGAUGUCCCCUUCCUCCGCCGCCCUUCGGUCGUUUGCCCC